CUUGAAGGCUUGAUGACA
rnacentral:snRNA from 1 species